CAGAGUGCCAGCCCAACCCUGCCCAUCACCGGAGUCAGGAGAACUACGAAACUCUCCUCUGGGCUGCUAUCUGUCCUCUCCUCUCAGAGGGCUGGGGUGGAGGCCAUGUGGCACCACCCUGACUACUCUUUGCACAAGGAUUUUCUUUCUGCUCUCUGAACACCAGCUUUCCUUUCUCAACCCGAGCCUGUUUCUCUUAUGCUUCUUUCACAGACAAUGAAUAAUCAGUCCACUUCCUUCUUAUAAAAUCCCUCUCUAGAGUAAUCUACUUACCUCCUAAUGGGUGCUUUCCAGGCUAAAUAGCCUAUAUCUUUCUAAUCUCACAUCCCUGGACCUACUUUCUGGACAAAUAAGCAAACUGGCACCUCUAGUAGCUAUGGCUGAGGAAGCAGGAGCAGAGCAAGAUGAUCAGAGUCAUGAUGAUCCUGCCCCCAACCUCACUUCAGGAGAGUGACCACACCUGACUGACUUCACAUAAUAGAACCCAGAACAUAGCUUUGGUGAUGGGAUAUGUGGAGGGAGGACCAACAAGACUCUGUAGCAAGUAGUGAUCUGUCUCCAAGUGGAUCUGUCCAGUACCCCUUUUGCUAUGGGCCCUUCAAGUUCACUGGAUCAUUGUCAGUAAGAGGGAGAGGACUCUUUAGAAGACUGAUACCGAUUUGCUCUCGGGCAUACAUCCUCCAAAGAUGUCUACAACUAAAUAUUGGCAUUUUGACCAAGACAAGUCCUAUCUGAGAAGGAAUCAUUUCUCACAGAGAAUAAAAGACGUUGUAAGUAA